ACGGCUCGUUGGCCCGCCCACACCCCCUCAGUCCUGCCCCACCUGCAGCUUUCCACACAGCUGCUUGCUGAUGGUGAGUCCACUCGCCGACACUGAAAGAGGAUUUUGGAGACGAAAGCUAAAAGGCUCUAAGCGCCACAUCCAGCGGCUGCCCUGCGCUGUAAUCUGUCAAGCGGAAUUUAGCCCCUCUCAUCCAGCGGUACAUCUCUUUGGAUUGCUGUAGGUGAAGAAGCGAGGGAUGCUCGCAGGGUCCUUGAACGCCACAAAUAAGUUCACGAAGCGUGCAGAAAGAGGACUCGCCUGUUGAUUCGGGCUCUAGUUCAUUUCGGGAAUAUUUGAGUAGUACACUUUUCAUCUCUAUGGCAAAGUUCUUGGCUGAAUUACUGGGAUGCACACUUCCCGACAAGGGCACCCCUCCUUUGUUCGAGUGUCGAAGCCAGCCCCAUCUUCGAAUGAGGCCUUCCUCCAAACAGCGGAUUAACGUCUCACUCCAACGCUUUUCUGGACAUCAUUACAGAUGCACCGAAACACACAUCUGACCACACCUAUCGGCAACACCAGAUGUGGUCAAAGCUUUCAGCUGUGAAGCGUCCAAGUAAAGAUGAGCUAAGUUAGCAGGAAUUCAGGGCGUCCUGCUAAAACGUUUAUUACGACCAUCUGAGUGAGAGUGAAGCAGUGACAUAUGAUCAAAUCACAACUACAACUCACAAGAUGAAGAGAUAUCCACCCUCACCCUGUCACAAAGUAAUCUACUAGUAUGUGAUUCUGCAUUUAAGCAGCUAAACAAUGCUGGAUGAUGUUGAAUUGCUGGAAAAAGGUUUGCUGAAUGAUAAUCCCCCCGCCCACCUGAAGCUGCUUUGCAUUUUUAUCCACAGUUGAAGUUGGUCUUAAUGUUUAUGUGUUUUUGUUUCAUUGUAUUUUGAUAUUCGUUGUUUAUGUUUUGGUUCAUUUAGUCGUCUUUAGCUCCGAGGUUGCCUAGUUAUAGUUCUUCGCUCAUUUUCAUUUAGUUAAAGUUCGCCUUGUUGUCGAGUGUGUCUUAUCUGUCAUGUUUUAUGUCUGCGAGUCUUCAUGUCGUCAAGUUCGGGUCACGUCUGCGUCCCGUCAUGUUUCCUGUUUAUUUUGAAAGUCUUCCACUUCCCCUGUGGUGUCAUUAUGAUUUGUUUGUGUCAGCUGUUUCCCCAUGUUUGGCCCUGAUCACCUCAUGUGUGUAUUUUGUCUCUUACUGUUCGUUGUCAGGUCGUCUGCCUAUGUAACCCCCAUGUUAAUCAUAGUCAAGGUCACAGUCAUAGUUAAAAUAAUAGUUUAGUUCAUAGUCUAGUCUUGGUUAUCGUUUUUGUUUGAUUUAUUCAUGUAUCAGCCAAAUAAAGGC